GAGAUGAGGAGCAAAAUCUUACCUUUAUUCCCACGGUUUUAUUUAUUCCAACGGCGGUGGGCACAACAUUGCACUCUCCCAAUAACAUCAGCAGCCAACAGCAUCCAGCCGAGCUGUAAACACAAGCCCAACCAACCUGCAACCAACCCGCUGGCAUCCGC